AGCUUCAGAUAAUUUAAUGGCAAAAUUAGGGUUCUGGGAACUUUACCGAGAUUCCCAGGUUUUCCAAAAAUCCCGGCUGUAGGAUUCCGGAUUCCUGGCUUAUUCCCCCCCAGUUCAGGGAAUCUUCCAUCCAGGAUUUAUGGAAAACCUGUGACGUUUGGGAAAGUAGCUGGAAUUUUGCAACUUUAGCCCAAAAUAAUGAUUUCUCCCACAAGAGGGUCAUCAGAUCCAUAUAAUAUUCAACAAUAGUGGAUCUGUAACGCAGAUGUUUCAGGGGUCCAAGCUUGUGUGAGGAAUAAACUUGUCCCCAGGAACUGAAGACUUGCGUUAGCUCCCUUGCGGUAGCUUACCUUAGCAUUAGCUCAGCGGGAUAACACUGUCUUGUGGUACUCAGGAAACCUGGGUUUGAAUCCCGGAUGGUUACACACAUAGAGAUAGUAUAGAGAUUGCAUCGUUGUAUCUGUCCCAUUAGGCCAUCUCCAUUUUGAAGUAGUCCAUUUUCUUCUUCUACUAUCUCUAUGAGUUGGUUAACAAACUGAAAGGGUUCAUACAGUCAUCUGGAGGGUGUUUGAACAGGUAUGAAGCCAAGGCUGGUGGUUUACUGCCACCUGGAGGGUGUUUGAACAGGUAUGAAGCCAAGGCUGGUGAUUUACUGCCACCUGGAGGGUGUUUGAACAGGUAUGAAGCCAAGGCUGGUGAUUUACUGCCACCUGGAGGGUGUUUGAACAGGUAUGAAGCCAAGGCUGGUGAUUUACUGCCACCUGGAGGGUGUUUGAACAGGUAUGAAGCCAAGGCUGGUGGUUUACUGCCACCUGGAGGGUGUUUGAACAGGUAUGAAGCCAAGGCUGGUGAUUUACUGCCACCUGGAGGGUGUUUGAACAGGUAUGAAGCCAAGGCUGGUGGUUUACUGCCACCUGGAGGGUGUUUGAACAGGUAUGAAGCCAAGGCUGGUGAUUUACUGCCACCUGGAGGGUGUUUGAACAGGUAUGAAGCCAAGGCUGGUGAUUUACUGCCACCUGGAGGGUGUUUGAACAGGUAUGAAGCCAAGGCUGGUGGUUUACUGCCACCUGGAGGGUGUUUGAACAGGUAUGAAGCCAAGGCUGGUGAUUUACUGCCACCUGGAGGGUGUUUGAACAGGUAUGAAGCCAAGGCUGGUGGUUUACUGCCACCUGGAGGGUGUUUGAACAGGUAUGAAGCCAAGGCUGGUGAUUUACUGCCACCUGGAGGGUGUUUGAACAGGUAUGAAGCCAAGGCUGGUGAUUUACUGCCACCUGGAGGGUGUUUGAACAGGUAUGAAGCCAAGGCUGGUGGUUUACUGCCACCUGGAGGGUGUUUGAACAGGUAUGAAGCCAAGGCUGGUGAUUUACUGCCAU